GCCGAUAUGAUUUGUGGAAUUAUUAUAAGUUUCUGACUAUAUUUGUGACACAAUUUUAAUUAUAAUACUUAUGAUAAAUUUGAUUAUAAAAAAUAAAAAUAAAAGAAGUUUUGGUGAUCAAUGACUAUGACUACUGUAAUUUAGAUGGGUAGAAAAAGAUUCAACAGAUACGAAAAUUGUAACUUUUUCAUUUUGUCGUCGGAAACGAUAGUUGGCAUAAACAAAAAUACAAUUUGUAUCGGUAGUGAUGAUCCCUUCCCCACCAGUAUGUAGGCACGUAUCGUUUAUCAGUAUUUAGUAUAUCAGUUUCAUAUUUACACAUUUUGAAAAGAGACUCUGUGGGUAAUAUCGUCUAUCAAUUUUAUAAAUCAAAUUAAAACUGAACGCAUUUUUUCUUCGAUUUUCCAAGAUUAAAUUGUUGUAUUAUAUAUUAAUAUUUUAUUCAUAAUGAAAUGAAAAAUUUAACAAUCAAUUGAUUUUAAUUUUAG